rnacentral:rRNA from 1 species
ACUCCUACGGGAGGCAGCAGUGGGGAAUAUUGCACAAUGGGGGAAAGCCCAUCGAUGCAGCCAUGCCGCGUGUGUGAAGAAGGCCUUCGGGUUGUAAGAGCACUUUCAGUGGGGAGGAAAGGUUGUUGGUUAAUACCUAACAGCUGUGACGUUACCCACAGAAGAAGCACCGGCUAACUCCGUGCCAGCAGCCGCGGUAAUACGGAGGGUGCAAGCGUUAAUCGGAAUUACUGGGCGUAAAGCGUGCGCAGGCGGUCUGUUAAGCGAGAUGUGAAAGCCCC